GGGAACUAAAGGUACUUUAUGUCUGCUUCUGACAUCAGUCUCUGCACUUUCCUGUGACAGAGCAAGUCUUUUCUAGGCAGGCUCUGUGGGGUAAUUGAAUUAAGAGAGCCUGUGAUCAGCUCUGCUUCUAUUUUUAAGUUCCAGAACUUACAGACAAGGAUUUCUUUUCUCAAAAAGUUCGAUAAAAAGGACGAGGGUUGAAGAAGUUUGAAGACCGACCUCUUCCUGCCUCCCCACAGCCCUUCAGUCUUCUUCUUACAUCAAGGUUAUGGCUAACAGACAGCUCUCAGGGAGGGACCUGCUCUGUGAAGACUUUCCUCCUUCUUUCUGUCAGAGGCAUCUUGAUAGGGAAGCUGAAGCAUGGGGGAAUAGCUUUUCUUUGUGGAACAACCCUGCUGUGUGCUUCUUUGUCCCUAUCCUUGCCUCUCCAUAGAAGACAGGCUGUGUGUGGACCACGUGCGUCUGUCGGACCACGGGAACUCUCCUGCUGUUUUAACUGUUUGUGGCUAAGAGUCCCUGAAAAAUCUUCAGCAGAAACAUGGAUGAAGUGCUCCUGGUGCAGUCUUUUACUCUCCUGUGUAGCUUUUUAUGAUAAAACAACUGUUUUAAGAAAGUAUUGGAAAGAGAGUUGGAAAAGGACUUUUCGGGAAAAGAGAAGGAAAUGAAAAAGUGGCAAGCAGAUAUUUUUAUUAUCUUUGAGGACAAGGAAAGAUUUAAAUAGAAGAUUUGCUAACAUCUUAUUUGAUGCAAAACUUGGUGUUUUUCUCAAUAUCUGGAACCCUGCUUUUCUGUUGGAAACCUUCCAGCUGAAGCAGCUCAUUUUGUGAUUUACAUCUCCUAUUUUAUCUCCACUUUGGCUGCCGGACAGAGCAUCCAUGGACACCCAUCCAUGGGUGCUUCAGCAUGAUUUCCAUCUCCUCAGCCAUCAGUGACUUAGAGUGACAGACGUCAGUCCAGCAGAGCUCAGUGGGGAUUACUGGGAGUGACUGAUCCCAGCCAUCCUUCUCCAGCAGGAUUGACACUGCCUUUAGUGCUCUCCCUGACAAAUUAUCAGUCACCUCCAGAUGACAGGGAUUGACUACCUCCUCAACCAUAGCAGAGCAAUGAGGCAAAGCUUUUAUUCCUACAUGUCACAUUUCCAUGGAUAAACGUAGGAAUGGAGCCUUGCAUGGUCACACUUGCCAAGUGUCUUUAGUAAUGGAUAUGGAUUUUAAACUGGAAUAGUGGUGGGUGACAACGUGGCUUGGGGGUAGAGGAAGGCUCUUGGGCUAUUUUCCCUGCUUAUUUAUUUCCAAUUAAAUAAAAAUCCCAUCUGU
rnacentral:lncRNA from 1 species